rnacentral:tRNA from 1 species
ACCUGGCUGGCUCAGUAGGUAGGGCACGUGACUCUUGAUCUCAGGGUUGUGAGUUCAAGCCCCACACUGGGUG